UGGAAACAGUUGCUAAGACUGGAUAGGAAAUAAAAAGGCAUCUUUUUAUUUUUAAAAGACCUUUUUCGGAAGGUAUGCUUAAAGAGGGGCUUGCGUCACAUUAGUUAGUUGGCAGGGUAAAGGCCUACCAAGACUAUGAUGUGUAGCUGGACUGAGAGGUUGAACAGCCACAUUGGGACUGAGACACGGCCCAAACUCCUACGGGAGGCAGCAGUAGGGAAUUUUCGGCAAUGGAGGAAACUCUGACCGAGCAACGCCGCGUGAACGAUGAAGUAUUUCGGUAUGUAAAGUUCUUUUAUUGAAGAAGAAAAAAUAGUGGAAAAACUAUCUUGACGAUAUUCAAUGAAUAAGCCCCGGCAAACUAUGUGCCAGCAGCCGCGGUAAUACAUAGGGGGCGAGCGUUAUCCGGAAUUAUUGGGCGUAAAGGGUGCGUAGGCGGUUUAAUAAGUCUAUAGUUUAAUUUCAGUGCUUAACACUGUCCUGCUAUAGAAACUAUUAGACUAGAGUGAGAUAGAGGCAAGUGGAAUUCCAUGUGUAGCGGUAAAAUGCGUAAAUAUAUGGAGGAACACCAGAGGCGUAGGCGGCUUGCUGGGUCUUUACUGACGCUGAGGCACGAAAGCGUGGGGAGCAAACAGGAUUAGAUACCCUGGUAGUCCACGCCGUAAACGAUGAGUACUAAGUGUCGGGAUUACUCGGUACUGAAGUUAACACAUUAAGUACUCCGCCUGAGUAGUACGUACGCAAGUAUGAAACUUAAAGGAAUUGACGGGACUCCGCACAAGCGGUGGAUCAUGUUGUUUAAUUCGAAGAUACACGAAAAACCUUACCAGGUCUUGACAUACUCUGCAAAGCUAUAGCAAUAUAGUGGAGGUUAUCAGGGAUACAGGUGGUGCAUGGUUGUCGUCAGCUCGUGUCGUGAGAUGUUAGGUUAAGUCCUAAAACGAGCGCAACCCUUGUCAUUAGUUGCCAGCAUGUCAUGAUGGGCACUUUAAUGAGACUGCCAAUGAAAAAUUGGAGGAAGGUGAGGAUCACGUCAAAUCAUCAUGCCCCUUAUGAUCUGGGCUACAAACGUGAUACAAUGGCUGUUACAAAGAGUAGCUGAAACGCAAGUUUAUAGCCAAUCUCAUAAAAGCAGUCUCAGUUCGGAUUGAAGUCUGCAACUCGACUUCAUGAAGUUGGAAUCGCUAGUAAUCGCGAAUCAGCAUGUCGCGGUGAAUACGUUCUCGGGGUUUGUACACACCGCCCGUCA
rnacentral:rRNA from 1 species